rfam:Microdochium bolleyi strain J235TASD1 unplaced genomic scaffold Micbo1qcscaffold_3, whole genome shotgun sequence.
GGCCUUGUGGCGCAACGGUAGCGCGUCUGACUCCAGUUACUUGGAAUCAGCUUGUCGAUCCACGACGAGCAGUCUAUCAGAAGGUUAUCCGUUCAAAUCGGGUCAGGGUCA